rnacentral:rRNA from 1 species
GUCGAGAAUCAUUCACAAUGGGCGAAAGCCUGAUGGUGUGACGCCGCGUGGGUGAAGAAAUCCUUCGGGAUGUAAAGCCCUGUUGUAUGGGAAGAGCGGAAGACGGUACCAUACGAGGAAGCCCCGGCAAACUACGUGCCAGCAGCCGCGGUAAUACGUAGGGGGCAAGCGUUGUCCGGAAUUACUGGGCGUAAAGCGCACGCAGGCUGAAUUAUAAGUCGGUAGUCAAAGGCGGAGGCUCAACCUCUGUAUAUCUAUCGAUACUGUAAAUCUGGAGUAUGUGAGAGGGAAGCGGAAUUCCCGGUGGAGCGGUGAAAUGCGUAGAUAUCGGGAGGAACACCAGUGGCGAAGGCGGCUUCCUGGCACAAUACUGACGCUCAUGUGCGAAAGCUAGGGCAGCGAACGGGAUUAGAAACCCGAGUAGUCC